rnacentral:Y_RNA from 1 species
GGCUGGUAUGAGUAUGUGGUGUUUAUAACUAAUAGAUCACAGCCAGUUACAGAUUCCUUUGUUCCUUCUCCACUCCCACUGUCUCACUUGACUAGUCUUUA